rnacentral:rRNA from 1 species
UACGUAGGGACCAAGCGUUGUUCGGAUUUACUGGGCGUAAAGGGCGCGUAGGCGGCUUGACAAGUCACUUGUGAAAUCUCCGGGCUUAACUCGGAACGGCCAAGUGAAACUGUUGAGCUAGAGUGUAGAAGGGGCAAUCGGAAUUCUUGGUGUAGCGGUGAAAUGCGUAGAUAUCAGGAGGAACACCGGUGGCGAAGGCGGCCCUCUGGACGGAUACUGACGCUGAGGCGCGAAAGCUAGGGGAGCGAACAGG